rnacentral:tRNA from 1 species
GCGGGUAUAGUUUAGUGGUAAAACCCUAGCCUUCCAAAAGCUAACGAUGCGGAUUCGAUUCCCGCUACCCAUU